GACGAACGCUGGCGGCGUGCUUAACACAUGCAAGUCGAACGGAAAGGCCCUGCUUUUGUUGGGUGCUCGAGUGGCGAACGGGUGAGUAACACGUGUGUAUCCUGCCCUUGUCUUUGGGAUAACUUCAGGAAACUGGGGCUAAUACCGGAUAGGAGCUCCUGCUGCGUGGUGUGCGUUAGAAAGUUUCGGCGGUUGGGGAUGGACUCGCGGCUUAUCAGCUUGUUUGUGUAGUUGUGGCUUACCAAGCGUUUGACGGGUAGCCGGCCUGGGAGGGUUACCGGCCACAAUGGGACUGAGAUACGGCCCAGACGCCAACGGGAGGCAGCAGUGGGGAGUAUGGCACAAUGGGCGGAAGCCUGAUGCAGCAACGCCGCGUUCGUGAUGACGUGCUUCGGGUGGUAAACCGCUGUGGCCUGAAACGAAGCGUGAGUGACGGUAAUGGGUAAAGAAGCACCGGCUAACUACGUG
rnacentral:rRNA from 1 species